rnacentral:rRNA from 1 species
AUGCAAAGAACUUUGAAAAGAGAGUUAAAGAGUACCUGAAAUUGCUGAAAUGGAAGCGAAGGAAACCAGUGUCGUGCUUGUCAUAUUUCUGCCGUCGCUUGCGAUGGUAGCGCUGUGGCUGCACUGGUCAGGGUUGGUUGUGAACGGUAGAACUUCUACUGGUUGCGACUGAGUUCUGUCGAAAUGGUUUUCUUUACCCCGUCUUGAAACACGGACCAAGGAGUCUAACAUAUGUGCGAGUACAGGGGUGUCAAACCCCCGUGCGUAAUGAAAGUGACAGUGGUUGUAUUUUUUCCCAAUCCGCCGGCCUCAAUCCUUCGGGAGAACGGUCUGAGUGUGAGCAUACAUGUUGGGACCCGAAAGAUGGUGAACUAUGCCUGAAUAGGGUAAAGCCAGGGGAAACUCUGGUGGAGGCUCGUAGCGAUUCUGACGUGCAAAUCGAUCGUCAAAUUUGGGUAUAGGGGCGAAAGACUAAUCGAACCAUCUAGUAGCUGGUUCCCUCCGAAAUUUCCCUCAGGAUAGCUGCGAUCAAAUUAAUCAAUUUUAUCA